rnacentral:rRNA from 1 species
UACAGAGGAGCCAAGCGUUGUCCGGAUUGACUGGGCGUAAAGCGCACGCAGGCGGUCUGGCGCGUGGGGUGUGAAAUCUGGCCGCUUAACGGCCAGGCGCCAUCCCAUACGGCCGGACUGGAGUGAUGCAGAGGUCGAUGGAAUUGCCGGUGUAGUGGUGAAAUGCGUAGAGAUCGGCAGGAACACCCAGGGGGAAACCAGUCGACUGGGCAUCUACUGACGCUGAGGUGCG